rnacentral:rRNA from 1 species
GAGUUUGAUCGUGGCUCAGAUUGAACGCUGGCGGCAUGCCUUACACAUGCAAGUCGAACGGCAGCAUGAUCUAGCUUGCUAGAUUGAUGGCGAGUGGCGAACGGGUGAGUAAUACAUCGGAACGUGCCCUGUAGUGGGGGAGUAACUAGUCGAAAGAUUAGCUAAUACCGCAUACGACCUGAGGGUGAAAGUGGGGGACCGGCAAGGCCUCAUGCUAUAGGAGCGGCCGAUGUCUGAUUAGCUAGUUGGUGGGGUAAAGGGCCCACCAAGGCGACGAUCAGUAGCUGGUCUGAGAGGACGAUCAGCCACACUGGGACUGAGACACGGCCCAGACUCCUACGGGAGGCAGCAGUGGGGAAUUUUGGACAAUGGGCGAAAGCCUGAUCCAGCAAUGCCG